rnacentral:rRNA from 1 species
AACGAACGCUGGCGGCAUGCCUAACACAUGCAAGUCGAACGGGACCUUCGGGUCUAGUGGCGCACGGGUGCGUAACGCGUGGGAACCUGCCCUUAGGUUCGGAAUAACUCCCCGAAAGGGGUGCUAAUACCGGAUAAUGUCUUCGGACCAAAGAUUUAUCGCCUUUGGAUGGGCCCGCGUUGGGUUAGCUAGUUGGUAGGGUAAAAGCCUAUCAAGGCGACGAUCCAUAGCUGGUUUGAGAGGAUGAUCAGCCACACUGGGACUGAGACACGGCCCAGACUCCUACGGGAGGCAGCAGUGGGGAAUAUUGGACAAUGGGCGAAAGCCUGAUCCAGCAAUGCCGCGUGAGUGAUGAAGGCCUUAGGGUUGUAAAGCUCUUUUACCCGGGAUGAUAAUGACAGUACCGGGAGAAUAAGCUCCGGCUAACUCCGUG